AGCAAUAUUGGUUCAUGAUAUGCAUUAAUAAAAUAUUGUAUUCAGGUAUACCUUUGGAAAAAAUUCGCAGGUGCUUAUGUUGUAACCUGCACGACCGCAUUUACUAGUGAUUCACUUGAUUUUGUAUGCCUUCUUUUCUUUGUCUUUCCUAGCAAUUUUCUAUAUUUUGGUGGUAAUACUUCUUCCUCUUCAACAUAUUCGGCACAUGCCUUGAG
rnacentral:lncRNA from 1 species